GAACAAAAAUGUGAUUAAUUCAGCAUGUUUAUGAAGAAUGUUGAAUAUUUUUGUGCAUUAGCUUCUGCUGGGAUUUUUUUGGUCGAUUUGUACCCAUUGGUCCAUUAUGGUGGUGAUCCUCUCUCCACUUUUUAGAACCAAAAUGUGAUUAAUUCGGCAUGCUUAUGAGGAAUGUUGAAUAUUUUUGUGCAUUAGCUGCUGCUGGGAUUUUUUGGUUGAUUUGUACCCAUUGGUCCAUUAUGGUGGUGAUCCUCUUUACUUUAUUGGCUGAAUAAGCUUGAUCUUGGACUAAUCGUGUAUAUUGGAACAUACAAGACUCAUGUCAAAUUAGUUAAGUUGAUAUCAAAUACAUUUGUGGCAUGCUCCAUUAGUGGUUUAUACUUGAAAUGUGGCUUGUCAUUUUUAGUAAAUAUUACAUUAUCAAAGUUGUUUCAUGCAUGCUGCUGGUAACUGUAUACUCUCCUAACAGUUUUAUUACUUGUUGUAUGCAGGCUGACUGGAGCCUAUUUUUUCCUUAAAAAUCCUAUUUUUUGAUAUCAGGUGCUCAUUGAGCUGUCUAAGAACAAGCAGAUCAUCAUUUCACCAUUUUCGGCUGCCCCAGAUGCUGGCCUUUAUUCUUCAAAAGUUGGGUGUACAGAAGUUGUAGCAAGAAGAAUCCUGAA